rnacentral:lncRNA from 1 species
ACGCCAUGCCCAGCCAUUUACCGCGCCCAGCCCGAUGAUAAUGCACUGCAAAAAAAUUAUGAAGAGUUGGUCGACAUGAAAUCUAAAAUUGCGAACAUGGAAAAGACACUUUCCACCAUGCGUGCCCAGCCGAGAGAUUCAAUUUCUGCGAUGCCGUCUGUUCCACGACACUCUACACCUAUACGUUCAACGAAGCUCUAUAAUGGUUCAAAGCCGUUCGAUACAAGAGAAUUCGUUCCAGCAUGCUUCUAACUCAGACAGCCCCAUUCAUCAUAGCGAGAAAAUGUUUUCGUUGUUUCUAACUAACAUCGACGGCCGAGUAACAGAGGAUGAAAUCAAUGUUUUGGUAUCAGAGUCAUGUGGUCUUAAAGAAAACCGAGCGUUUCGUAUCAAAAAACUUGUCCCAAAAUGGAAGAUUGAUGAGCCGCUUGACUACGCUUCUUUCAAAGUCACAGUCGAAGGGAAGUACAAACGAUUGCUGCUACGAGAAGAUGCCUGGCCCACCGGAAUAAAAUACAGAGAAUUCAUCGAGCGUCCGAGAAACACAUGGAAGCCGUGCCGAUUGUAAAAUGAACAUAUGUACACUGUGGAAGCGGUUUAAACUUAUGUUUUUGUUGAUUCAUGUUACCUGUCAUCCCUAAUAUUCGUGUUUGAUUGUUCAUGCUUGUGUGUGUAGUGUCUCACUGGACGCUUUCGAGAAUGAAAUACUUUCAGUGUAUUAUAUUGUAUUUCGAUUAUAUUAACUUUACAGUGUAUUCAGCUGAUUAACGGUGUGCUAAUGAAUUGUAACGAAUUGUAACGAUGUUGUAAGUGAAAUGGAAUAAACAACCGAUGAGCUGUGCUGAUUCGAGUUCUAGACGUUAACAAAACAAGUCCUUUAUUUUAAGACAUAUCAACUGGCGACGACAGGAUAAAAAAAAGGUGCUUUUUACAUAGUUCUACUAUUGUGUGGAAAAUCGUACUUUCCAUUGUGCAGUGGAUAGUGGCCAUCAUUUCGGAGGAAAUCCAUCAAAAAAGGCCUAUACUUGCAAGUUGGGACCGGAAUUGAAAGAAGAGUAAGGUUAGAAGGAACGUUUUUGGACCUAAGAGGAGUGCUUUGGACCAUCCCGAGCCAUACUCUUGCGCUUGGUGCCCGUUUGUAAGCUGGUAAUAAUCGAGAAUCGUCUGCUAACUGGCACGAUACCAGCGGAACAAGGCAUUUGUUCGUUAAGCUGAAGAGAAUAUCCGGAUUACUGUUCGGACGAGUGCGACCGUGCGCCCAUUACGAUCUGUUUUGGAGUUGUCUCUGGCUAACUGGCUUGUGAAGGUUGAACACCGGAAGAUUUGGUGGAAAUUGGAAGCGUGCAAACCACUGCUCAUCGCACACAGAUCCGUCUGUUUAAUGACCCGGAUUCAACAAGACCAAACAUCUCGCUUCCUACGCCCAGCACACAAGACAUGGCCAUUUCAAGUACCUCUCCGGUUAAUAUCGGCAGUGAACAUCAUCGAGGCCCUCAAGAUGAUCCUCCCAAUCCGGGAGUCAAGCGUAAACGCGAGCAACAUCAGUCGAGCUCAGAGCUGCGACGGUCUAAGCGAAUAAAGCAGGUCAAAUCUGAUUCGGAUUUUGUAUAUUACGAUCGAUAGUAAGAUAUUUUGAAUUCCAUUAUAAUGUAAAGCCAAGUUCAUUCAGAAUCAAUUAUAGAAUCACUUCGGAAGGGGGAAGAAGUUGUAGUGUCUCACUGGACGCUUUCGAGAAUGAAAUACUUUCAGUGUAUUAUAUUGUAUUUCGAUUAUAUUAACUUUACAGUGUAUUCAGCUGAUUAACGGUGUGCUAAUGAAUUGUAACGAUGUUGUAAGUGAAAUGGAAUAAACAACCGAUGAGCUGUGCUGAUUCGAGUUCUAGACGUUAACAAAACAAGUCCUUUAUUUUAAGACAUAUCAGUGUGUUAUUGUUAACAUAGAUUUAAGAUUAUCAUUGGGGCUCAAUUAAGCCUGUUGAUAAGUAAUGAAUAAAGAUUAAAGACACCAUUUCUAAUGGAGUGUUCUUU